rnacentral:lncRNA from 1 species
CAUCCAUCCCUACAACAUGCUCCCUCUGAAGAGCUCAACCUUCCUUCAAGAUCCCACCUGUGGCGAAGGUACCUGGCUCCUUGCCCAGAUUCAGCUACUCUGCUUUGAAAAUUAUAGUGCGCUCCCCCAGAAGCUGAGCUUCGAGGACCAGUGUUCAUUCAUCUCUGUUACUCAGCACAAGGAAGAGUGA